GAUGAACGCUGGCGGCGUGCCUAAUACAUGCAAGUCGAGCGAACAGACGAGGAGCUUGCUCCUCUGACGUUAGCGGCGGACGGGUGAGUAACACGUGGAUAACCUACCUAUAAGACUGGGAUAACCUCGGGAAACCGGAGCUAAUACCGGAUAAUAUAUUGAACCGCAUGGUUCAAUAGUGAAAGACGGUUUUGCUGUCACUAUAGGUUGAUCCGCGCCGCAUUAGCUAGUUGGUAAGGUAACGGCUUACCAAGGCAACGAUGCGUAGCCGACCUGAGAGGGUGAUCGGCCACACUGGAACUGAGACACGGUCCAGACUCCUACGGGAGGCAGCAGUAGGGAAUCUUCCGCAAUGGGCGAAAGCUUGACGGAGCAACGCCGCGUGAGUGAUGAAGGUCUUCGGAUCGUAAAACUCUGUUAUUAGGGAAGAACAAAUGUGUAAGUAACUAUGCACGUCUUGACGGUACCUAAUCAGAAAGCCACGGCUAACUACGUG
rnacentral:rRNA from 1 species